CGGUUGCGGAAGGCGUCGAGGCAUGGCGCGCGCCACUCGUGGCAAGUGGUGACCUGUUGCCGAUGAAGGCAUCGCUGUUUCUGAGCCAGAUUAUCGGACCCGCUCAGUUCGUGUGCCGCUCGUGGCUGUCGGGCCGCGAUCCCACCGAUCCGCGCCAUCAUGCCGAUGCGCUGAUCGCAUGCGCAAUUCGCGCGCUGACUGCGAAGGGAGGCCGAUAAUGCUUCAGACAGAU
rnacentral:misc_RNA from 1 species